rnacentral:rRNA from 1 species
UACGUAGGGGGCAAGCGUUGUCCGGAAUCAUUGGGCGUAAAGCGCGUGUAGGCGGCUCGGUAAGUCUGCUGUGAAAGUCCAGGGCUCAACCCUGGAAAGCCGGUGGAAACUGUCGAGCUCGAGUCCGGAAGAGGCGAGUGGAAUUCCUGGCGUAGCGGUGAAAUGCGCAGAUAUCAGGAGGAACACCAAUGGCGAAGGCAGCUCGCUGGGACGGUACUGACGCUGAGACGCGAAAGCGUGGGGAGCAAACAGG